rnacentral:rRNA from 1 species
GCUUUAUAAAUAGUUUAGACUUAGUUGAUUCAAAAUUUUUAAGAGUUAGGAUUAAUUAUUUUAUUUUAUUGGGGUGAUGCGAGUAUAAAUAUUAUUAACUGCUUGAAUAUCAAUUCUGUUAUACAAGAGUUAAAUUAUAUGAUCCUUUUUAGAGAUUAAAAGAUUAAGUU